UACUAAAUGGAAGCAAACAUAACAGUGAAAGGAGCAGGGUAGAUAAGAGGUGACUUCUUCAUUUCGUUUCCUUUCUUUUUCCUUUUUUUUUGUGCUUAAAA
rnacentral:ribozyme from 1 species